UGCGGGGUAGAGCAAAUGGUAGCUCAUCAGGCUCAUAACUUGAAGGUUAAGGGUUCAAUUCCCUUCUCCGUGA
rnacentral:tRNA from 1 species